CCGUAACUUUUUGGCGCGAUAUGAGAAAUAAACUGCGAGAGACCCAAGAAUAUUAUGAACGAACAAUAUAUAGAUAGAGUUUUUGAUUUUUCUUUUGGAGAGCUAACAAUUAGUCAAGCUACGAUUGGAGAUGUAGGUUGUGUAGUUUGGGAUGCAGCGAUUGUUCUCGCUAAAUAUAUCGAUGGUCCAAAUUUUAAGGAAAAACACAGCCUUGCAAGUUCUUCUAUUUUGGAACUUGGAGCAGGAACCGGUUUAGUGGGCCUAACUGCUGCUGCAUUAGGUGGAAUUGUAACUUUAUCAGAUUUAGAGACACUAAUUCCUCUCAUGCAAAAAAAUAUUGAAGGUAACAAAAAUGUAUUGAAAGGUAAAUGCACCUCAAUGGUUUUAAAAUGGUAUGCAGUUUUAUGGGGAAGCAAUCUUAGUUUUAUUUAUCCUCCUGAUAUAAUUUUGGUGUCUGAUUGUAUCUACUAUGAAGAUUCAUUAUUACUGGUAAACUCUAUGUCUCAAUUAUGCUCAGAGAAAACUACAAUUUACUUAUCAUAUGAAGACAGAAACACUGAUCAUAAACUUCAACUUGUCAAAGAGUUUUUUUUGAACAUGUAAAGAAUAAGAACAAGAUUGUCCCUUUCUCAGAAAGUUUAUGAAAAAUUAUUGACAUAAAUCAGCACCUAAAAUCUCUAGCAACUGGUAAAACUGAAAUAGCUCGUUAAUCAGCAUUUUUUCGUUGAAGAAAUUCCGAACAUAAUGCACGAUAAAAUAUUUCGUAGUGACGAUAUUCAUAUAUUCAGGUUAUCACUGAAAACAAUUUAAAGUAAAUGAAUAAAAAGAACUAAGAA